rnacentral:rRNA from 1 species
UACGGAGGGUGCAAGCGUUUAUCCGGAUUCACUGGGUUUAAAGGGUGCGUAGGAGGGUCUGUAAGUCAGCGGUGAAAUCUCCGAGCUUAACUCGGAAACUUGCCAUUGAUACUAUAGAUCUUGAAUACCGUGGAGGUGAGCGGAAUAUGGUCAUGUAGCGGUGAAAUGCUUAGAUAUGACAUAGAACACCAAUGCGAAGGCAGCUCACUACACGCAUAU